CGGAGGAUCCGAGCGUUAUCCGGAUUUAUUGGGUUUAAAGGGAGCGUAGGCGGAUUGUUAAGUCAGUUGUGAAAGUUUGCGGCUCAACCGUAAAUUGCAGUUGAUACUGGCAGUCUUGAGUGCAGUAGAGGUGGGCGGAAUUCGUGGUGUAGCGGUGAAAUGCUUAGAUAUCACGAAGAACUCCGAUUGCGAAGGCAGCUCACUGGAGUGUAACUGACGCUGAUGCUCGAAAGUGUGGUAUCAAACAGGAUU
rnacentral:rRNA from 1 species